rnacentral:snRNA from 1 species
GUGGUCACUUUGGCAGCACAUAUACUAAAAUUGGAAAGAUACAGAGAAGAUUGGCAUGGCCCCUGCACAAGGAUGACACGCAAAUUCGUGAAGUGUUCCAUAUUAAA